rnacentral:rRNA from 1 species
UACAGAGGGGGCAAGCGUUGUUCGGAAUUACUGGGCGUAAAGGGCGCGUAGGCGGCCCGCUAAGUCGAACGUGAAAUCCCCGAGCUCAACUCGGGAACUGCGUCCGAUACUGGUGGGCUUGAAUCCGGGAGAGGGAUGCGGAAUUCCAGGUGUAGCGGUGAAAUGCGUAGAUAUCCGGAGGAACACCGGUGGCGAAGGCGGCAUCCUGGACCGGCAUUGACGCUGAGGCGCGAAAGCUAGGGGAGCAAACGGG